rnacentral:rRNA from 1 species
GACGAACGCUGGCGGCGUGCCUAAUACAUGCAAGUCGAACGCGCAGCGAAAGGUGCUUGCACCUUUCAAGCGAGUGGCGAACGGGUGAGUAACACGUGGAUAACCUGCCUCAAGGCUGGGGAUAACAUUUGGAAACAGAUGCUAAUACCGAAUAAAACUUAGUAUCGCAUGAUACAAAGUUAAAAGGCGCUACGGCGUCACCUAGAGAUGGAUCCGCGGUGCAUUAGUUAGUUGGUGGGGUAAAGGCUUACCAAGACGAUGAUGCAUAGCCGAGUUGAGAGACUGAUCGGCCACAUUGGGACUGGGACGCGGCCCAAACUCCUACGGGAGGCUGCAGUAGGGAAUCUUCCACAAUGGGCGCAAGCCUGAUGGAGCAACGCCGCGUGUGUGAUGAAGGCUUUCGGGUCGUAAAGCACUGUUGUAUGGGAAGAAAUGCUAAAAUAGGGAAUGAUUUUAGUUUGACGGUACCAUACCAGAAAGGGACGGCUAAAUACGUGCCAGCCGCCGCCGUAA